ACAGGAUCCUGGGGGAGGCUCAGCUUUUUGCAAUCAGGAUGAUUAAUUGUAGACUCAUACAAAAACCUGAGAGAGAGAAAGAAAAAAAAAAAGCCUUUUUGUGGGUUCCUUAGUAGAACAUGUAGCGAUAGGGGCAGUCUUCCUGUUUUGUUUUGUUUUUGUUUGGUAUCAUCUGUUUAUUCCCUUGAUACUUCAAGAAUAAGUGAUACAAAGCCCUCGACCAUUUGGGAAGUAGAUCUGCACCUUCUCAAGAUUUUGCUCAUUCUUGGCAGCUUGGCAGGGCAGAAUGGGCUGGCUGUAGGACCCCGAAGGAAGAAGCACGACCAGCCACCAGAUGUGUGACCUCCUCACCCUGCUGGCAGCACUGAACGUCCUUUCCUGUAAACUUCUCUGAGGCCUUGUAAAUCAACAGAGGACUGUAAAGCCUUGGAGAGAGGAUUCUCAUCUUCCCCUUUACUGAGUGCUAUGCUAAGCCCCUGGACAAGCUCUUCCAGCAGGAGCAGCAUCAAGGUGAGAGGCCACAACUGAGCAGCUCUGCCCUUCGCAGGCUGUGAGCAGGAACUGAUGGGGCUGUGCACACAGUGAACUCCUUUCCUCUGCGAGAGGUGAGGCUGAGAUGCCGCGGUGGGGCCACUCUUUGUUCCAGGCAGAAAGCUGGUGCAGGACCCGCUUCCUGGAGACAGGGAGGAAGGAAACCCUAAGGAAGGAAGAUUAACAACACUCUGAGUCAUGACCAAAUUCUCAGCUGGUCUCUGGCAGCACGUGUCCUGCUCACCAUCAGUGGGUUUUAGGGCAAACUGCAGCAGAUGCCCCUGACUGGGCCAUCUUGUGUAGUGUGAAGAAAUUGCUCCUGUUUUCACCCAGCGUUCUAUAAUUUAGUAUGUAAGCUGUUUUUAAAGAUGGCUGUCUAGGUUACAUGUAUUGUCAUGGCCUACUGAAGACAUUUUAUCCAUGAGCAAAAGUCAGCACACAAGGCAACGUGACAAAGGCCAAGCUAUGGCUGAUACAUCAUCGUGUUCUGAUGCACCAUUGCAGUUGGUGGCUUCAGCCAACCCCUGAGAGAUUCUGAAAGUUAAACCCAAAGAUCGCUGUGGUGUUUCAGAAGCACGCUGCCAGACUAAGAAGAGACCGAUGAGUUUCUGUGUCCUGAAUUCAUUCAGGGCUUAUACAAGUCCUUCCAUCACUGAUGCUCUUGUUUUGAAAGCAGAAGGACGAUCAGGAACACUCAGUGACUGUGAGCUAUGCAGGGGAAUGCCCUUUCCUCCUCUCCCAUGCUGAGCCUGUGUCCUUGGCCUUGGUCACAGACAGUACUCCUCGCUGCAGCUGCGAGACCUUCAUGCAACUGAUACUGGCAGAGAGGCUUGGGUGCUUCAUGAAAGCGAGUUCAGCAGAGAUGUUUAUUAACCCCAGGCUUGGUGCAGUUAUUCAGCUGAAUGUGGUGAUGGAUUCUAGCAACACAGCAAAAAAGGCAAAUCUGAUGUUUGGUGGUAUUGGAAAAGCAGGAGUUUUUGACAACGCUCAGAAGACAAAAAUUAUCUGAAAAAAAGGGGCACGUGAGCACAGAAUUCCUGGGUUUUGACACUGGUUUGCCUUCAUAAAUUCUGACAUUCGGUCUUCAAAGAAAUCAUGGAAGAGGUAAAAUUGUCAAAGUUUGAGAUGAAAUCAGCACUCGUGAAAACAACACAAUCUUUUGAAAACAAGGGUAGCAAAAUAGCAAAAGAAGGUAAAAACUUUUGCUGAGAUUCAGCUCUCUAGCCUUGGAUUCAUGGAAAAAAAAAGUGAUAACUUAAUACAGGAAUGUUCUUGUUUGUGGCUUUUCUCCAAUCUUUCAUGGUCAUUUGGAAAUUAAAACAGAUCCUCCUGCUCCAGACAGUCUAGUACAGUGAAAGCAGCUUGUUACAAA